rnacentral:rRNA from 1 species
GUGAACGCUGGCGGCGUGCCUAACACAUGCAAGUCGAACGAUGAUAGGAAGCUUGCUUCCUUGAUUAGUGGCGCACUGGUGAGUAUACCAUAGAUAAUGUACCUCUUAGUUCGGGAUAGCCACUGGAAACGGUGAUUAAUACCGGAUACUCCUUCUCAUUAUAAGAUGAGUCGGGAAAGUUUUUUCGCUAAGAGAUCAGUCUAUGUCCUAUCAGCUAGUUGGUGAGGUAAUGGCUCACCAAGGCUAUGACGGGUAUCUGGUUUGAGAGGAUGAUCAGACACACUGGAACUGAGACACGGUCCAGACUCCUACGGGAGGCAGCAGUGAGGAAUAUUGCACAAUGGAGGAAACUCUGAUGCAGCAACGCCGCGUGGAGGAUGACGCAUUUCGGUGUGUAAACUCCUUUUAAGAGGGAAGAUAAUGACGGUACCUCUUGAAUAAGCACCGGCUAACUCCGU